rnacentral:piRNA from 1 species
UGCAAACCUAUCACAGCUGGUGGCUUC